rnacentral:tRNA from 1 species
GGCGGCGUGGCGAAGUGGUAACGCAACGGUCUGCAAAACCGAUAUCCGUCGGUUCGAUUCCGACCGCCGCCUCCA